rnacentral:rRNA from 1 species
UACCCGAAUGGGGAAACCCAGUGUGACUCGUCACACUAUCAUUAACUGAAUCCAUAGGUUAAUGAGGCGAACCGGGGGAACUGAAACAUCUAAGUACCCCGAGGAAAAGAAAUCAACCGAGAUUCCCCCAGUAGCGGCGAGCGAACGGGGAGGAGCCCAGAGCCUGAAUCAGCAUGUGUGUUAGUGGAAGCGUCUGGAAAGGCGCGCGAUACAGGGUGACAGCCCCGUACACAAAAGCGCAUGUGCUGUGAGCUCGAUGAGUAGGGCGGGACACGUGGUAUCCUGUCUGAAUAUGGGGGGACCAUCCUCCAAGGCUAAAUACUCCUGACUGACCGAUAGUGAACCAGUACCGUGAGGGAAAGGCGAAAAGAACCCCGGCGAGGGGAGUGAAAAAGAACCUGAAACCGUGUACGUACAAGCAGUGGGAGCACCCUUUGGGUGUGACUGCGUACCUUUUGUAUAAUGGGUCAGCGACUUAUAUUCUGUAGCAAGGUUAACCGAAUAGGGGAGC